rnacentral:rRNA from 1 species
CCCUGCUUUCCCCUAGUAUCUCUUACCAGCGUUGGACCUUAUCCAUUCAGUUCCCUCGAUCCAUUUCUCUCAGCUCUACGAAAAAUCAACCCCAGAUCCAACGAGCAUAGCCCCAAAUCUCGACGACCGCCGUUGCCGCAAAUUCCAGCGACGCCGGCGACCUCCGCGUCGCACGUCCCAUCCUCUUUCUCUUGUUCCAAGCCCCAUGACCUCCACUCCGUUUUUGUUGCGAGCCAAGCACGGGAGCUGGAACCACCCGCGGCUUGUGCCGAGUCGUCGAUGCGCUACCUACCGCUUGAUCCGGAGCUGAACCAGCACCGCAAGGUGUUGCAGCCGGAGCUGGAACCGACGAACUUCAGAGCUACCAACCCGCGCAGGCGAAUAAGUUGCAUCCACACCGACCAGUUAUGGAAUCAGACGAGCAGGCAAGUCGUUUUGCUGGAACCGGCCUUUUGUUUUGCUACAACCGGCAAAGUUUUUGCUGCUUCAGCGAGGUGUUUUAUUGCGACAGUCAGCGGCGACGGCGGUAUUUCGGCUGGAAUUGGUGAUGUGUUUUGUUGGUACUGUAUUUGAUUUUUUCUACUACCGGUGACAGUGGCAUUUUUGCCGAUGAAUUUUGUUUUGUUUUUGGCUGGAACAUGGUGGUGGGAGCUGAUGAUGCGUCAAGCCAGCGUUGGACGAUGAAGGCGAUGCUACGACCUUCAUCAGCGGAUGUUACAACCUUCAGUGGCGGGAGCUACAAGUAGAGAUGGCGAGAAGGAAAAGCUAUGACCAUGGAGUCGAUUUGCUGGGACGGGGGAUGGGCGAUGGCGGUGGUGACGGGGCUGCAACAGGGCUGGUGGUGGAGAUGGGAUGGUGUGACCCCAUGCUGCAACCAUGGGGUGGUCGGGAGCGGCGACAGCAACCUCUGGCGCGCCGGCACAAGCAAACUGACAGCAAGCACGGGUCAUGGGGCGGUCGAAGAGCGCAUGUCGCGCGGCCGUGGGGGAGGCCGGCAAGCACGGAUGAGGAG